rnacentral:rRNA from 1 species
AUGAACGCUAGCGCAGGCCUAACACAUGCAGUCGAGGGUAACAGGGAAAAGCUUGCUUUUCCGCUGACGACCGGCGCACGGGUGCGUAACGCGUAUGCAACCUACCUUUUACAGGAGUAUAGCCCAGAGAAAUUUGGAUUAAUCCUCCAUAAUAUCUUCAUCAUACAUAUGAUAAAGAUUAAAGCUUCGGUGGUAAAAGAUGGGCAUGCGGUUUUAUUUGCUAGUAGGUGAGGUAACGGCUCACCUAGGCCACGAUAAAUAGGGGCCCUGAGAGGGGGAUCCCCCACACUGGUACUGAGACACGGACCAGACUCCUACGGGAGGCAGCAGUGAGGAAUAUUGGACAAUGGACGAAAGUCUGAUCCAGCCAUGCCGCGUGCAGGAUGACGGCCCUAUGGGUUGUAAACUGCUUUUAUACAGGAAGAAACACUCCCACGUGUGGGGGCUUGACGGUACUGUACGAAUAAGGAUCGGCUAACUCCGUG